UACGUAGGGUGCAAGCGUUGUCCGGAAUUAUUGGGCGUAAAGAGCGUGUAGGCGGCCAGGUAGGUCUGCUGUGAAAACUCGAGGCUCAACCUCGAGACGUCGGCGGAAACCAUCUGGCUAGAGUCCGGAAGAGGAGAGUGGAAUUCCUGGUGUAGCGGUGAAAUGCGCAGAUAUCAGGAGGAACACCGGUGGCGAAGGCGGCUCUCUGGACGGUGACUGACGCUGAGACGCGAAAGCGUGGGGAGCAAACAGG
rnacentral:rRNA from 1 species